UUUUCCACUCUUAUUUCCUUUCUUCACUCUCCUUUCCUUUCUUCUUUCCUUCUUCCUCUCUUCUUUCCUUCUUUUACUCUUUUUUCCCUUCUUCUUUCCUUCUUUCUUUUCUUCUUUCCUUCUUCCACUCUUCUUUCCUUCUUUCACUCUUCUUUCCUUUCUUCACUCUUCUCUCUUUUCUUCUUUCCUUCUUUCACUCUUCUCUCUUUUCUUCUUUCCUUCUUUCACUCUUCUUUCUUUUCUUCUUUCCUUUUUCCACUCUUCUUUCCUUCUUCCACUCUUCUUUCUUUUCUUCUUUCCUUCUUCCACUCUUCUUUCCUUCUUUCACUCUUCUUUCCUUUCCUCUUUCCUUCUUUCACUCUUCAUUCUUUUCUUCUUUCCUUUUUCCACUCUUCUUUCCUUUCUUCACUCUUCUUUCUUUUCUUCCUUUCUUCUUUCCUUCUUCCAGUCUUCUUUCCUUCUUCCAAUCUUUUUUCCUUCUUUCACUCUUCUUUCUUUUCUUCUUUCCUUCUUCUACUCUUCUUUCCUUUCUUCACUCUUCUUUCUUUUCUUCUUUCCUUCUUCCACUCUUCUGUCCUUCUUUCACUCUUCUUUCUUUUCUUCUUUCCUUCUUCUACUCUUCUUUCCUUUCUUCACUCUUCUUUCUUUUCUUUUUCCACUUUUCUUUCCUUCUUCCACUCUUCUUUCCUUUCUUUCACUCUUCCUUCCUUCUUCUUUCCUUCUUUCACUCCUCUUUCCUUUCUUCUUUCUUCUUUCCUUCUUCUUUCUUUUCUUCUUUCCUUUUUCCACUCUUCUUUCCUUUCUUCACUCUUCUUUCUUUUCUUCCACUCUUCUUUCCUUCUUCCACUCUUCUUUCCUUCUUUCACACUUCUUUCUUUUCUUUUUCCUUCUUCCACUCUUCUUUGCUUUCUUCACUCUUCUUUCCUUUCUUCUUUCCUUCUUCCACUCUUCUUUCCUUCUUCUACUCUUCUUUCCUUUCUUCUUUCCUUUCACUCUUCUUUCUUUUCUUCUUCCUUUCUUAACUUUUGCAUUUCAUGCACUGGUAUUUCCUUCAGGAAAUGCAUUUUCUAGUUAUUCUUUGUACCGACUUCUGCAAUUAAUUCAGCUCGAACCGCUUAACGUAGAAACUUCGUUCAAACUUUGUCGCGUAGGUCCUGUAAAGGACACUUAUGCUAUGUAUUUUUCACUUUUCUUUCCUUUCUUCACUCUUCUCUCUUUUCUUCUUUCCUUCUUUCACUCUUCUUUCUUUUCUUCUUUCCUUUUUCCACUCUUAUUUCCUUUCUUCACUCUCCUUUCCUUUCUUCUUUCCUUCUUCCUCUCUUCUUUCCUUCUUUUACUCUUUUUUCCUUUCUUCUUUCCUUCUUUCUUUUCUUCUUUCCUUCUUCACCCGUACGUCUUAAUAUAGCAAUUGUGUUGUCGUGUUGUGUUGACA
rnacentral:lncRNA from 1 species